rnacentral:sRNA from 1 species
AAUGUAUGUUUUGAAUGAUUUUUAUUUAUAAUAAUAUAUUUAUAAUAUUUUAUGCUAUAAACGCCUAAACCGCCUAAAUUCGUCUAGAGCCCGAUUAGGCGUUCUAAGUGUUAGGCAUUGGGUCACCGUCCGAUUAGCGCCUAACGUUUUCUUGAACACUGCGAUUUCCAAAUAACAAAC